rnacentral:rRNA from 1 species
GUUGAACGCUGGCGGCAUGCCUUACACAUGCAAGUCGAACGGCAGCACGGGUGCUUGCACCUUGUGGCGAGUGGCGAACGGGUGAGUAAUACAUCGGAACAUGUCCUGUAGUGGGGGAUAGCCCGGCGAAAGCCGGAUUAAUACCGCAUACGAUCUACGGAUGAAAGCGGGGGACCUUCGGGCCUCGCGCUAUAGGGUUGGCCGAUAGCUGAUUAGCUAGUUGGUGGGGUAAAGGCCUACCAAGGCGACGAUCAGUAGCUGGUCUGAGAGGACGACCAUCCACACUGGGACUGAGACACGGCCAAGACUCCUACGGGAGGCAGCAGUGGGGAAUUUUGGACAAUGGGCGAAAGCCUGAUACAGCAAUGCCGCGUGUGUGAAGAAGGCCUUCGGGUUGUAAAGCACUUUUGUCCGGAAAGAAAUCCUUGGCUCUAAUACAGUCGGGGGAUGACGGUACCGGAAGAAUAAGCACCGGCUAACUACGUG